UGGGGAAUUUUGGACAAUGGGGGCAACCCUGAUCCAGCCAUGCCGCGUGAGUGAAGAAGGCCUUCGGGUUGUAAAGCUCUUUCGGCCGGGAAGAAAUCGCCAUCUCUAAUAUAGGUGGUGGAUGACGGUACCGGAAUAAGAAGCACCGGCUAACUACGUGCCAGCAGCCGCGGUAAUACGUAGGGUGCGAGCGUUAAUCGGAAUUACUGGGCGUAAAGCGUGCGCAGGCGGUUUUUUAAGAUAGGCGUGAAAUCCCCGGGCUUAACCUGGGAACUGCGCUUAUGACUGGAAGACUAGAGUACGGCAGAGGGGGGUGGAAUUCCACGUGUAGCAGUGAAAUGCGUAGAGAUGUGGAGGAACACCGAUGGCGAAGGCAGCCCCCUGGGCCGAUACUGACGCUCAUGCACGAAAGCGUGGGGAGCAAACAGG
rnacentral:rRNA from 2 species